rnacentral:rRNA from 1 species
UGUUUAUAGAUUUUAUUAUAAAUAAAACCUGCUCCAUGUAAUAUAUAUAUAUUAAUAGCCGCAGGAAAUUUACUGUGCUAAGGUAGCAUAAUCAUUAGUCUUUUAAUUAAAGACCAGAAUGAACGGGAUAACAAUUCGUGUACUUUAUUUUAUUAAUAUUAAAAUUAAACUAAUUAUAAAAAUAUAAUUAUUAAAUAACUAGACGACAAGACCCUAUUAAACUUAACUUAAGUUAAGCUGGGGCAGCUAAUUAAUAAUUAUUUUAAUACUAAUUAUUACCUAAAUAUCCUUUCUAUUGAUAAACAAGUUACUAUAGGGAUAACAGCGUAAUUUUAUUCUAAAGCUCUUAUUAAAAAUAAAGAUUGCGACCUCGAUGUUGAAUAAUUUAACUUUUAACUGAAACAAGAUAUAAAGUAA